CAGUAGCCGCGGUAAUACGAAGGGGGCUAGCGAUGUUCGGAUUUACUGGGCGUAAAGGGCGCGUAGGCGGACUGAUAAGUCAGGGGUGAAAUCCCAAGGCUCAACCUUGGAACUGCCUUUGAUACUGUUUGUCUUGAGUUCGAGAGAGGUGAGUGGAACUGCGAGUGUAGAGGUGAAAUUCGUAGAUAUCCGCAAGAACACCAGUGGCGAAGGCGGCUUACUGGCUCGAUACUGACGCUGAGGCGCGAAAGCGUGGGGAGCAAACAGGAUUAGAUACCCCUGUAGUCCCUGUCUCUUAUAC
rnacentral:rRNA from 1 species